AUCCCCCAAACCAAGGGGGGGUGAGAACCCCCGACCGGGGUUCGACAACUGGCGCAGCCAGUUGGACAGACGACGAGCUUGCGAGGAGACUGCCCGAAGGGCGAGCGCAGCGAGUCAAUCCCCCUCUCACCGCCA
rnacentral:sRNA from 2 species